ensembl:lncRNA
GAGCCGCACAGCCAGAGCUGCUAGAGGCCGGAGCCUGCAGGGGCGGGGGGCUGAACCACCACGCACUGUGGCCUUGGCCCCGGGCUCCGAAACAACCGGAGAAUGGAAGGUGCCGUCUGCAAAGCUCCCACGCGCGCGGCUCCCCUCGGGUGGUGAAUGAACCCCGAGGCCGGAGGUCGAGGGCUGCCACCCCACCCACGGCCGCACCGCACCCAGACCCGAUCCGCACAGCCUCUUGGUGCACUGGCGCGGGACUGCUUUGUGCCGAGCCCAUGAACUUUCGCUCUGCGUCGUCCCGUCGCCUUAGAAGGUUCUUUCCGGUCCACAGCCCCGGACUGAGGCCUUGCACCGUGGGAGUGAGAACCAGUAUCCUCCCACGCGUGUCCCGCGGUGGGGACAGAGUAUGAUGGGGCUCCCAGCCGCUCCGGAUGAGGCCCCCCAGGGCGCCGCCCGCGCACCCCGGGGGCCGGGAGCGCGAGGAGAAUGGGGGGGGGAUCGUGGAGCCCGAGGUGGGGUCCCCAGGCCGGGCACCGCCCACGGCCUUCGGCGGCCUCUUGCGUCCCUAGCGCCCUACAGGAUGACCCCGUUUCAUCUCCAGAUGCCACACACAGACCCUCGAAGGAGACCCUGCACAUAGGCACAGCUUCGUACACAGACUGGCACUGGGCCCUGCGCCCCACACACUGCCACGGACGCGAGAAGUCACAGGGUCGGGACCGCUCUGCCGGCCAGCGGAGGGGCCCUGCCAGGUCGCCCUCCACACCCUCCACCUCUGGCCUGGGCCUGGGGACGGUGGACGGCAGCUGAGCCUGGGUGAUUCAGCCAGGGUGUGCAACACAGGUCCCCCCUGCAGGCUGCCCAAGGGGGUGGGGUUCCAGGAGGGGAAGUAAAUGGCUGGAAGUCACAGCCGGACCUUGGACUGGCAGCCACAGGCUGGGAGCUUUGCCAUCUAGGUGCACAGGGUUGAUGCCUCUCACAGCCCCCAACAGGGAAAUGUCACCACGCCCCUGUUCCUUUCUCUACCGCAAGGAUCUUAGCGGAAGUCAAGCUCAAGGACAAGAUCCCCAACAGCAGCGGAACCCACUGACCUGGCUGGGGUGCAGAUUGGAGAUGCCAGCCACCGGUUUCUCUGGAGCCCGGAGAAGAAUCCCAGUCUUUGAAAUGGCAAAACCCACAAAAGGUCACAUCCCUGUGUUUGAAAGAUGUGCGGGGACCAUGCUGACAAAUUCUGGAAAGAUACAGACCAUAAUGAGUUGUUUGGAGGGAAUUAGGGAGAUAACAAGGUACGCGGAAGUCUCUAGAACUGUGUGUGGUGUGUGGAGAAAGUGAAAGCACUGUCCCACGUACUACGCAACAGGCACCAAGAGAUCUGGGUUGCCCAAGUCACACAGCUGGUUAGGGCACAGGGAGGAAAAUCAGUCUCCUGAUUCCUAGUCAGGGCUCUGGUUCCUCCAGUGCUUUCUGAAACCAGUGAGGAUAUAAAUAGUCUAGGGGAUAAACAAGUGAGUUGUACUACAGUUAAAAAUCAGAUUAAAGAACUUAGAUUUCUGUCCCUCUGCUUGUUAUGGCCAAAAGGAACAGGUCCUCGAAAGUCAGCUAGAGUGAGACAGGAAACCAAGUGCAUUCCCGCCACCCCUCAUCCUUGUUCGGCUUAGGGACCCACUAAGGGGAGAGUUUAUUUGUCCUUGUCCCUCUCUUGACACCUCCCGGUCAUCUCACUGUUGCAGCCUAGGCCUCCCUCAGGUGCCCACUGAUCUCCCAAAUGCCAGCCCUGCUGAAUUCCGCCUUCCUCUUCCUACUCAAAUGGGCCACAGCAUUCCUAAGUGUGGUCAGAUAAGACCCCAAAGGCUAAAGUCAGGGAAGAACUAGAGGCAACUAACAACAAACCAGGUAAAUGUUUUAAGUUAUAGGCAUUCCUCGUUUAAGGAUCAAGUUUUAUCCUUGCUACUAUGUUGUGAAAUGAACUGGUCCCUAAAUGAUAAAGGAGGAGGUAUAGAUAGUACGGACAUUACACUAUUCAGAACAAAGAAAAGGAAACUCCAACUUGAUGACUUUGCUUUUUUUUUUUUGAGACAGAGUCUGGCUUUGUAGUUCAGGUUGGCCUUGAAAUCACUAUGUAGUUCAGGCUGGCCUUGAACUCGUGGUGAUCCUCCUGCCUCAGCCUCCCAAGUGCUGGGAUCACAGGUAUGCACCACCACACCCUUUGAUGACUUUGCUUUGAUUUGUAUAACUCUCACAUGCAGUAUUGUAAUGUAUAACAGAACAUAAAACUAUACUACUGUACUGUACACUACAAGCAGCAAAAAUUGCAGUACUGUGUAAAGUGUACUGUACAAAAAAGACACUGAGGCUCUAUAAAGAUGUCCAGAACUCUGCAGAAAAGAUGGGUCAUAAGUCUGAGCAGUGGGACAUAAAUCGAAACAGUUGUUAAACAGGUGGGUCAGAAAUGAGAAAUACCUACAUGUUAGGAAAAGAGGACAGCUAUGCAAAACCAUCUGCUUAAAGGGGAGAGGGAGCCUCCAUGUUUAUUCGCAUAAUCUGCCCCUCCUGUUCCUUUAAUUUUGUUUUGCUCUGGUUUUUCUGUUUUUGGGGGUUUUUUUGGGGCGAUGGGGUCUCCUUAUGUCACCCAUGCUGGCCUCGAACUUGGGCUCCAGCAAUCCCUUGCCUUGGCCUCCUGGGUAGCUGGAACUGGAAGCUCGGGCCAACAUACCCAGCUGUUCCCUUGGUAUUUUUAUUCUCAAAGCACAGGAUGAAGGAGCCUAAUUACAUGUGCUGAUCUUCUGUCAUCUUUACUCAUUUUCAUUAAGUUUUGAGUCCUCACUCUCCACUUGAUUCAAAAAAGUGGUUCAACUGUAGUUAAAAAGCAAAGUUAAUUAAAAUCUUAAUCUUUUUUUUUUUUUUAAAGUCAACUCCCCAAGCUUAGACCAAAGCUUAUCCCUCACUGAGGCUCUCAGAGUUCGGGACCUGGGGCAGAGUUGGGGUUGGGGUAAGAGAAAAUGACUGGCAAAGAGAAAAUGACACUUGUGUUCACAUUAUUCAGUCAUUCAUGUCUCAACCAAAAAGCAUGGGUGGCCUUGGGAGCACAGCCUUGGAGUUGGACCCCGAUGUGGAGCAGUUCCUGAGGUCUCCAGAGCUGCCCCUGUGGGUAGAACAGGGCACCAGUGCACAGGGCUGACCUUGGCUGGCAGAGGCAAGGCUCAAUGGUGCAGCACAUUCAGGGGACCCCCUAGGGGUGCCUCCAAGGGGAGCACCCAGUUGGGCUACACCUGCCCCUGUUUCUGUGAGCUUGGGUUCCCAAUUCCAGGAUGAGGUCCUUUGACUUGUGUGGUCAGCAUUUCACUGCUGUGUGCAAAUCCAUGAGAAAAACAACCUAGAGGAAGAAAGACUGGCUCAUGGUUUCUGAGGUUUCAGUCCAUGGUCAGCCGGUCCCAUGGCUUUAGGCUGUCAUGGGAUGUGAGAGGAAAGCCAGGAAGCAGAGAAAGAGGAAAGGGCUGGGGACAGGAUAAAGUCCCCAGGGUCACGCCCCUAUGACCCACUCCCUUCAGUGAGGCCCCAACACCUGCCAAUAAUGCUAUCAAAUUAUGAUCUCAUCUCUGGGGAUUUAGCUCAGUGGUUCUGCCACCUGCCUCACAAGCACCAGGUCCUGAGUUUGAUCCCCAGUACCAAAAAAAAAAAAAAAAAAUUACGAUCUCAUCAAUGGGUUAACCCGUGAAUCCUCACAAUCCAGUCACCUUCCAAAAGUCCAUCCCCUGAACACAUUAGCUUUCUGGGGACCUUUAUUUGUUUGAUUUGAGACAGGGUCUCCCUACGUAGCUCAAGCUGGGCUCCAACUCUAGGUGGUCUUCCUGCCUCAGCCUCACAAGUGCUGG